GGAGGAGUGGCCGAGUGGUUUAAGGCACCGGUCUUGAAAACCGGCGAAGAGCAAUCUUCCGUGGGUUCAAAUCCUACCUCCUCCA
rnacentral:tRNA from 1 species